rnacentral:rRNA from 1 species
AACGAACGCUGGCGGCAUGCCUAACACAUGCAAGUCGAACGAGACCUUCGGGUCUAGUGGCGCACGGGUGCGUAACGCGUGGGAACCUGCCCUUAGGUUCGGAAUAACUUCCCGAAAGGGUUGCUAAUACCGGAUAAUUUCUUCGGACCAAAGAUUUAUCGCCUUUGGUUGGGCCCGCGUUGGAUUAGCUAGUUGGUAGGGUAAAAGCCUACCAAGGCGACGAUCCAUAGCUGGUCUGAGAGGAUGAUCAGCCACACUGAGACUGAGACACGGCGCAGACUCCUACGGGAGGCAGCAGUGGGGAAUAUUGGACAAUGGGCGAAAGCCUGAGCCAGCAAUGCCGCGUGAGUGAUGAAGGCCUUAGGGUUGUAAAGCUCUUUUACCCGGGAUGAUAAUGACAGUACCGGGAGAAUAAGCUCCGGCUAACUCCGU